UACGUAGGGGGCUAGCGUUGUCCGGAAUCAUUGGGCGUAAAGCGCGUGUAGGCGGUUCGGUAAGUCUGCUGUGAAAGUCGGGGGCUCAACCCUCGGAUGCCGGUGGAUACUGCCGGGCUAGAGUACGGAAGAGGCGAGUGGAAUUCCUGGUGUAGCGGUGAAAUGCGCAGAUAUCAGGAGGAACACCAAUUGCGAAGGCAGCUCGCUGGGACGUUACUGACGCUGAGGUGCGAAAGCGUGGGGAGCAAACAGG
rnacentral:rRNA from 1 species